rnacentral:rRNA from 1 species
GAUCUGGUCAGGAUGAACGCUAGCUACAGGCUUAACACAUGCAAGUCGAGGGGCAGCAUUGGGAUAGCUUGCUAUUCAGAUGGCGACCGGCGCACGGGUGAGUAACGCGUAUCCAACCUUCCUGCCAGUAGGGAACAGCCCGGCGAAAGUCGGAUUAAUGCCCUAUGUUCUUCAAUGCGGACAUCUAAGUUGAAGGAAAGAUUCAUCGCUGGCAGAUGGGGAUGCGUCCGAUUAGCUUGCCGGCGGGGUAACGGCCCACCGGGGCGACGAUCGGUAGGGGUUCUGAGAGGAAGGUCCCCCACACUGGUACUGAGACACGGACCAGACUCCUACGGGAGGCAGCAGUGAGGAAUAUUGGUCAAUGGGCGUAAGCCUGAACCAGCCAAGUAGCGUGCAGGGAAUGACGGCCCUACGGGUUGUAAACUGCUUUUAUGCGGGGAUAAAGUGCGGCACGUGUGCCGCUUUGCAGGUACCGCAUGAAUAAGGACCGGCUAAUUCCGUGCCAGCAGCCGC